GAGUAAACACAGGUUAAAGAGUGUGGGAAGGAUUCUUGAAAUUCUACUUUCAAAGAACUGAUCGCUUGGAAAAUGGAUUUUCAAAAUUAUUGACUGAUUAUGGAGAGAAAAUAAUCAAAGAAAAGAAGAAAAAAAAGAAAUAUAGGGAUAGGAGGAAGGAGAAAGAACAAGCGACGAAAAAUUAUUUACAAAAUUAAUUUCUAAAAUAAAUAUAAA